GGAUCCAGACUUCAAAACCAGAUCCUUAGUGGGUUCGAAUCCCGUUUUCUG
rnacentral:tRNA from 11 species